rnacentral:rRNA from 1 species
CCCGCACAAGCGGUGGAUGAUGUGGAUUAAUUCGAUGCAACGCGAAAACCUUACCUGCCCUUGACAUCCUCGGAACUUGUCAGAGAUGACUUGGUGCCUUCGGGAACCGAGAGACAGGUGGUGCAUGGUUGUCGUCAGCUCGUGUCGUGAGGUGUUGGGUUAGGUCCCGCAACGAGCGCAACCCUCGACCUUAGUUGCCAGCAUUCAGUUGGGCACUCUAAGGUGACUGCCGGCUAAAAGUCGGAGGAAGGUGGGGAUGACGUCAAAUCAUCAUGCCCCUUAUGACCUGGGCUACACACGUGCUACAAUGGGCGGUACAAAGGGUCGCGAACCCGCGAGGGGGAGCCAAUCCCAAAAAGCCGCUCUCAGUUCGGAUUGCAGGCUGCAACUCGCCUGCAUGAAGCCGGAAUCGCUAGUAAUCGCGGAUCAGCAUGCCGCGGUCGAAUACGUUCCCGGGCCUU